AGAGUUUGAUCCUGGCUCAGGAUGAACGCUGGCGGCGUGCUUAACACAUGCAAGUCGAACGAACCUUCGGGUUAGUGGCGGACGGGUGAGUAACGCGUGAGAAUCUGCCCUCAGGAGGGGGAUAACGGUUGGAAACGACCGCUAAUACCCCAUAUGCCGACAGGUGAAAUGAAUUUCGCCUGAGGAUGAGCUCGCGUCUGAUUAGCUUGUUGGUGAGGUAAUGGCUCACCAAGGCUUCGAUCAGUAGCUGGUCUGAGAGGAUGAUCAGCCACACUGGGACUGAGACACGGCCCAGACUCCUACGGGAGGCAGCAGUGGGGAAUUUUCCGCAAUGGGCGAAAGCCUGACGGAGCAACGCCGCGUGAGGGACGAAGGCCUCUGGGCUGUAAACCUCUUUUCUCAAGGAAGAAGAUAUGACGGUACUUGAGGAAUAAGCCACGGCUAAUUCCGUGCCAGCAGCCGCGGUAAUACGGGAGUGGCAAGCGUUAUCCGGAAUUAUUGGGCGUAAAGCGUCCGCAGGCGGCUUUUCAAGUCUGCUGUUAAAGAGUGGAGCUUAACUCCAUCAUGGCAGUGGAAACUGAAAGGCUUGAGUAUGGUAGGGGCAGAGGGAAUUCCCGGUGUAGCGGUGAAAUGCGUAGAUAUCGGGAAGAACACCAGUGGCGAAGGCGCUCUGCUGGGCCAUUACUGACGCUCAUGGACGAAAGCCAGGGGAGCGAAAGGGAUUAGAUACCCCCUGUAGUCCUGGCCGUAAACGAUGAACACUAGGUGUCGGGGGAAUCGACCCCUUCGGUGUCGUAGCUAACGCGUUAAGUGUUCCGCCUGGGGAGUACGCACGCAAGUGUGAAACUCAAAGGAAUUGACGGGGGCCCGCACAAGCGGUGGAGUAUGUGGUUUAUUUCGAUGCAACGCGAAGAACCUUACCAGGGUUUGACAUCCUGCGAACCUCUUAGAAAUUUGAGGGUGCCUUCGGGAAUGCAGUGACAGGUGGUGCAUGGCUGUCGUCAGCUCGUGUCGUGAGAUGUUGGGUUAAGUCCCGCAACGAGCGCAACCCACGUUUUUAGUUGCCAGCAUUUAGUUGGGCACUCUAGAAAGACCGCCGGUGAUAAACCGGAGGAAGGUGUGGAUGACGUCAAGUCAUCAUGCCCCUUACACCCUGGGCUACACACGUACUACAAUGCCACGGACAAAGGGCAGCAAACUCGCGAGAGCUAGCAAAUCCCAUAAACCGUGGCUCAGUUCAGAUCGUAGGCUGCAACUCGCCUACGUGAAGUAGGAAUCGCUAGUAAUCGCAGGUCAGCAUACUGCGGUGAAUACGUUCCCGGGCCUUGUACACACCGCCCGUCACACCAUGGAAGUUGGCCAUGCCCGAAGUCGUUACUCCAACCCUUGUGGAGGAGGACGCCGAAGGUGGGGCUAAUGACUGGGGUGAAGUCAUAACAAGGUAGCCGUA
rnacentral:rRNA from 1 species